CCGGUCCCCGAGAGCUGAAAAUCCGCAGUUUUGCAGAAUUUGAUUCUUUAGCUCUCGAAAACCUUCCACAACACACUUUUGACUAUUUUAACACCUUCGGACUUUCCGAAGUGUACCAUCCUCGCACUUGGGUCAAUUUGACUAAAGUUCGAUAUUUAUUUUUCGAAUUUUCGGUAUAUUACAGAUCGAGUGGCAUAAAGAAUGAAUAAAGUUAAAGAGCAAUGAUUGCUAGAGUUCGCAAAAUAAAGUAAUGUGACACUAGAGUUAGUGUGUGGCAUCAAAAAGAAAUGUGAUGUAAGAACAAUGACAAUGAUUAGUGACAAGCGAAGAAAAUAAAAGUGGCAUAAAGAACGAGUAAAGUUAAAGAAUAAUGAUUGCUGGAGUUAGCAAAAUAAAGUGAUGUAAAGAACACUAGAGUUACUGUAAAGACAAUGAUUGAACUAUGUAUCCUUAGAGUUAAGGAU
rnacentral:lncRNA from 1 species